rnacentral:rRNA from 1 species
GACGAACGCUGGCGGCGUGCUUAACACAUGCAAGUCGAACGAAGAGCGAUGGAAGCUUGCUUCUAUCAAUCUUAGUGGCGAACGGGUGAGUAACGCGUAAUCAACCUGCCCUUCAGAGGGGGACAACAGUUGGAAACGACUGCUAAUACCGCAUACGCUCUAAUCUCGGCAUCGAGGAUAGAUGAACGGUGGCCUCUACAUGUAAGCUAUCACUGCAGCAGGGGAGUGCGUCUGAUUAGCUAGUUGGAGGGGUAACGGCCCACCAAGGCGAUGAUCAGUAGCCGGUCUGAGAGGAUGAACGGCCACAUUGGGACUGAGACACGGCCCAGACUCCUACGGGAGGCAGCAGUGGGGAAUCUUCCGCAAUGGACGAAAGUCAGACGGAGCAACGCCGCGUGAGUGAUGACGGCCUUCGGGUUGUAAAGCUCUGUUAAUCGGGACGAAAGGCCUUCUUGCGAAUAGUGAGAAGGAUUGACGGUACCGGAAUAGAAAGCCACGGCUAACUACGUG